GACGAACGCUAGCUGCGGGCUUAACACAUGCAAGUCGAACGGCAAGGCCCUGCUUUUGUUGGGUUCUCGAGUGGCGAACGGGUGCGUAACACGUUAGUAACCUUCCCUUGACUUUGAUAUACCUUCAGGAAACUGGGGCUAAUACCUGAUAGGAGCUCCUGCUGCGUGUUGGGGGUGGGAAAGUUUCGGCGGUUGGGGAUGUACUCGCGGCUUAUCAGCCUGUUUGUGGGGUAGUGGCUUACCAAGGCUUUGAAGGGUAGCCGGCCUGAGAGGGUGACCGGCCAAAUUGGGAAUGAGAUACGGGACAGAGUCGUACGGGAGACAGGAGUGGGGAAGAUUGCAUGAUGGGGGGAAGCCUGAUGCAGCAACGCCGCGUGCGGGAUGACGGCCUUCGGGUUGUAGGCCGCUUUCGCCUGUUACGAAGCGUGAGUGAAGGUAAUGUGUAAAGAAGCACCGGCUAACUACGUG
rnacentral:rRNA from 1 species